UGAGGAAUAUUGGUCAAUGGGCGAGAGCCUGAACCAGCCAAGUAGCGUGCAGGAUGACGGCCCUAUGGGUUGUAAACUGCUUUUAUGUGGGGAUAAAGUGCGUGACGUGUCAUGCAUUGCAGGUACCACAUGAAUAAGGACCGGCUAAUUCCGUGCCAGCAGCCGCGGUAAUACGGAAGGUCCGGGCGUUAUCCGGACUUAUUGGGUUUAAAGGGAGCGUAGGCUGUUUGUUAAGCGUGUUGUGAAAUGUAAGAGCUCAACUUUUAGAUUGCAGCGCGAACUGGCAGACUUGAGUGCGCACAACGUAGGCGGAAUUCAUGGUGUAGCGGUGAAAUGCUUAGAUAUCAUGACGAACUCCGAUUGCGAAGGCAGCUUACGGGAGCGCAACUGACGCUAAAGCUCGAAGGUGCGGGUAUCGAACAGG
rnacentral:rRNA from 1 species